GACGAACGCUGGCGGCGUGCUUAACACAUGCAAGUCGAACGGAAAGGCCUGCUUUCCCUUGUGGAUUGCGGGUACUCGAGUGGCGAACGGGUGAGUAACACGUGAGUGAUCUGCCCCCAACUUGGGUAUAAGCCUGGGAAACUGGGUCUAAUUCCCGAUAGGACUGCAGGGUGGUGCCUGUGGUGGGAAACGAUUUUCUAGUGGUUGGGGAUGAGCUCGCGGCCUAUCAGCUUGUUGGUGGGGUAAUGGCCUACCAAGGCGGCGACGGGUAGCCGGCCUGAGAGGGUGGACGGCCACAUUGGGACUGAGAUACGGCCCAGACUCCUACGGGAGGCAGCAGUGGGGAAUAUUGCACAAUGGGCGGAAGCCUGAUGCAGCGACGCCGCGUGGGGGAUGACGGCCUUCGGGUUGUAAACUCCUUUCGACCGCGAGGAAGCCACCUGGUUGGAAGGGUGGUGACGGUAGUGGUAGAAGAAGCACCGGCUAACUACGUG
rnacentral:rRNA from 1 species